rnacentral:pre_miRNA from 1 species
CCAAUAAGUAAUAAAAUGUCUGUUUAAGUCCCUUAACUUUAUUUAAAGUAUCAGUUUGAUCCUUUUUGUUAAUUUAAUUAAAAAAACGUUAAGUUUAAGAGACCAAACCGUUACUUUAAAUAAAGUUAAGGGACUUAAACGAACCUUUUAUUACUUACAGAU